UUUGACUUAUAAUCUAUGUUUAGUAUUUUGUGAGCGAUCUUAAGCAACUCCAAGAGAUAACAAUAUCGCUUUGUGUUUUUGUGCACUAAACUUCCCUUGGAUUGUUAUAUACUAAAGAUGAACUUCCUACCCGACUAACUAAUCCUAAAAACGCCUACUUGUAGUUGACAUUUCUUUUCCCAUUGUACAACCAAUUUCUGCAUUAGGUCCAGUUCUCAGCAUACAUUUUCGGCAGUUACAAUGGCACCAUCUCACUCAUGGUCCAGGAAGAAGCAGGUGAAGUAACUGCUGCACCACUUGUCUGGGAAAGAGCAGGGAGCUGGAGCGAUAACUGGUUCCUUGUAACUUUGGAAAUGCCGAGGCUUCGGAACUGUUUUCAUCUGCAGCUCUUGGCCACAUGGGGCUGGAAUUCGCUAGUUGACAUUGCUGUGGACAACAUUACGUUUGGCCAAGAAUGCUUCUCUAAUGGAAGAAGACAAAGCUACCCUGAGGAAAGCAAAACCUAUCUGUGGGAGACNGAUCUACUGGACGAGCGCUUGUUUAAUCCAUUGGAAGAACCUCUUCCUUUAGGUGAUUAUCUAUUCAUUGUGCCUGUAUGCUAUCCUUUCA
rnacentral:lncRNA from 1 species